ACGUCGCAGAAGUAUAAUUAUGCGACGCACGGUCCUUUUAUUUUUUUUCUCCCUUUUCUCGCUGGGUUCCUAAUCCCUUCACGACACUUUAUGCCUCCCUUCUCUUUCUCUCUCAUCCUCUUCUUUUCGGAUCUCCAUUGGUUGGAGCUCCUAACACCUCUCCAUCUCCCCUUCUAAAAACUCAGUAUCAAGCUUAUCUUUCAAAAUCUCCUCUCACCAUACGAGGUAAGCAAAACCCCCUUUUUUCUCCAACAUCGUCAAUCAACAACAAUCAAAAACCCUAAAAAUAAUUUUUUUAAUUUUCUUGGUCGUGGAGAUCGGCGGUUAACAAGUUAUGGACGUUACUGAUUUUGUCGGUCGCGGCAGUGGUGAAUUGCACAGACAUCACCGAUUUCUCCUUGCAAUUUCAUUAAGAGUGUAAGGAAGAUGAAAACAUCUGCACUCACAGAUGAGGAGAAAGCUCGUAUUCAGCAGGGACUAAAAAGCAUUCAAACUUGGCUAGUAAUAAGCAUUCAAACCAGGUACUAACGUAUUAUUAGUCAACAAUAGUUCUCUUGAUCAAGACAAAAGAAGAAAUGGUAAUAAGAGCAAGUGGACCAUGUUACUGGAAAACGGACAUUGAGUCACAUAAAUCAUGUGUGGGUCAACAAAAAGCUGGGAACACGAGUUUUUUAAUGCAAUUAUGCAGUACUUCACUCGCACUGUUCUCUUUUUCAAGGCAUCAAGUCAUGGUUGUUGCUCUCUGCCUACCGCAUCUCUCAAAGAGAAAUAAAAAGAAUAAACCAAGAGAAUGAGCCACAUUGGUCCUGUAGCUCUGCUCCCAUGGUGGACAUGUUGCAGCUGCUCUUCCUUCUAUUUACAAGAACGGCGAAGGAUGUGGUGCUUGCUUUCAGGUAAGGUGCAAGAACAGUGAUGUAUGCAGUCUAAAAGGGACAAGGAUAGUAGUGACUGAUAUCCAUACUGAUAAGAACAACAUCACAGACUUUGUGCUAAGUAGCAGUUGCCGAUUUAGAGCGCAAUUGGGUGAGAAAGAGAAGGCAUGAGUCGUUGCUACAACUCUUGCUGAAACCUACAGUCAAAACUAUGACAUGAGUAGUUGCUACAACUCUUGCUGAAACGCGAGUCCAAUCCAAUGAGAGAGGCAUGAAAGACCGCACUGCUCUGCAUGUUGCAGCUGCCAAUGGAAUGGAAAUUGUGUUUCUAUCCUGCUGACUGCUGGGGUGGAUCCAAACUCCAAAGGUACUAUUUACUCUAAAAACAAUCUUCUUUCUUUCUUUCAUGUCCCUUUUGUGAUUUAUCCAGUAAUAUAUUAACGAACAGUUGGAGCUAGCUAGUGAUUUAUAGUUGAUAUCUAGUCUAUAAACGUGCUCUUUCAUGUCUCCUUUGAGUCUAUUAUGCUUGUUUAAGACCAAUAAAUUCUUACAGACCAAAAUGUAUUACAGUUUCUUAGUUGGGCCAUAAAAAUUGAGUUGUUGUGUCAUUAAUCAUUAUAACAAUUUUGUUGGGACAACAAGUACUCGUCUAGUGGGUUGAAGUUUUACACCCCUUGAUAAAGCUGAAACUCAUCUAGUGGGUUGAAAUUUUGCUCUCACAUGUCUUAAAUUCUUAUUGUCUAAGCUGCUGAAACUGAGAACGCAGAUUUCAUGCUCUUGUAUUAGAUGGAACCGCUUUGCUAGUGGCUGAUUUCGUGAAGGUUGGUUUUCUACUCACGAUCUGCACACCAAAACCUAUUUGACUAACAUACUAAAUGCACUUUUCUCAUCACUUUCUACGCCUUGGCCAUGAUUGUUGGGACGUUGCUCAAUACUACAUUAGAAGCAAGGGAAACACUAGAAGAUUAUGGGCAGCAACUAUUUUUUAUAUUUUUUUUUGUUGGGUGUCAAGAGAAACCGUUAGAUGGAAUACAUUGUUGUAGAUAUUUCAAGCUUUUGUAUUGUAAGAUUUAUGAAGGUAGUCUUUAUGUAUUUAGUCUUAUUGUAAGCUUUUGUAUUGUAAGAUUUAUGAAGGUAUUGUCUUUAUGUA